rnacentral:siRNA from 1 species
AGAUCACAAGAACACACUCUUUGA